rnacentral:rRNA from 1 species
UACGAAGGGGGCUAGCGUUGCUCGGAAUCACUGGGCGUAAAGCGCACGUAGGCGGCUUUCUAAGUCAGGGGUGAAAUCCUGGAGCUCAACUCCAGAACUGCCUUUGAUACUGGGGAGCUCGAGUCCGGAAGAGGUGAGUGGAACUCCGAGUGUAGAGGUGAAAUUCGUAGAUAUUCGGAAGAACACCAGUGGCGAAGGCGGCUCACUGGUCCGGUACUGACGCUGAGGUGCGACAGCGUGGGGAGCAAACAGG